AACCGUCCGGUGGUCAAGUGGUUAGAGCGUCCGCCUCGGAUGCGGAAGGUUGUGGGUUCGAUCCCCGGUCGAGUCA